rnacentral:rRNA from 1 species
GAUGAACGCUGGCGGCGUGCCUAAUACAUGCAAGUCGAGCGAACAGACGAGGAGCUUGCUCCUCUGACGUUAGCGGCGGACGGGUGAGUAACACGUGGAUAACCUACCUAUAAGACUGGGAUAACUUCGGGAAACCGGAGCUAAUACCGGAUAAUAUAUUGAACCGCAUGGUUCAAUAGUGAAAGACGGUUUUGCUGUCACUUAUAGAUGGAUCCGCGCCGCAUUAGCUAGUUGGUAAGGUAACGGCUUACCAAGGCAACGAUGCGUAGCCGACCUGAGAGGGUGAUCGGACACACUGGAAGUGAGACACGGUACAGACUCCUACGGGAGGCAGCAGUAGGGAAUCUUACGCAAUGGGCGAAAGCCUGACGGAGCAACGCCGCGUGAGUGAUGAGGGUCUUCGGAUCGUAAAACUCUGUUAUUAGGGAAGAACAAAUGUGUAAGUAACUAUGCACGUCUUGACGGUACCUAAUCAGAAAGCCACGGCUAACUACGUG